AUUUUCCACUUUUUUUUAUUAUUAAGUAUUUUCUAUUAUUUUACCUGUUUUAGUAUUUAGAAAUUAUUUAGUGAGUUAUUGCUAACUGAAAGGAGGGUUGGUUGAUUUUGGUGAGAUUUGGAGAGAGAGAGGAGACGGUUGGUUUGGGUUAUUUAAAGGAAAAGAAAAGAGUUAUUGUCUUAUAAAAAGCCUUGGGACUCGUGCGUAAAGAAAAAGAGAGAAAUCAAAGAAAGAAAGAGGGGAAAAGAAAAGAGAAAAAGGGAGAAAAAAAAAUUUAUUAAUCAAACCCUAGCCGCCGCACGCCGCCGCCGCGAACCCGAGCCGCCAAGCCUUCCCCUCUCUGUUCAACAGCGCAGCCGAGUCUGCAGUCCACCCGAGCCGUCGCCGAGCUUCCAGCCGCGUCGGAAGAAUCGUCCAAGUCGAUCCGCGCACGCCGAGCGUCCGCCGGAGCAGCCGUCUCUCGCAGUCGUCGCCCGAAGCCGAGCCGCGUCACCCUUCGCGAUCCGCAGCUGAUCCGUCAGCCAGCCGCGUCGCGCCGCUUCGAUCCGACGCAGCGUAGCCGAAACGUCCGUCUGCAGCCGCCGCCGAGCGAAGCCGUGGUGUAGCCGGACCACCCGCAGCCGUCGCGCCACCCGAAUCCAAAAGCCAGCGCCUCGUCGCGUGAGGACCCGACCCGGCCGAAGCCCCUCUCCGUGACCCGAAGCCCGGCCCGCGCCGCGUGCCUCCGACCCGGAACCCGAGCCGCGUGCACCCGCGUGCGAGCCGCACGUGCGUAGCCGCUGUACCAAGCUGAGCCGCGCCUGUCUGCUCCACGAGCCGCGCCAAUCUGCGCCGCGAGCCGAGCCGAUCUUCAACCUCCAAGGCGAGCCGGUCCCUGUCCUUUUUCCAGCCGAGCCGCCAAGACUAAUUUGGCUCCUUCCAUCCAAUUUGUGGGACGUCUUGGACCAAGUAACUGCUGCAGCGUGGGAUUUCUUCAGUAGGGGCUCAGCAUUGCAACCUCUUUCUAGGGUAAUUCAUUCCAACUGAGUUUUGAACCAUUAGUUGUUGGUGACUUAAUUACGAAUUUUGGCGUAUUAAACAGUUAGGACCCGUUGCUUGGAAAGCACACUUGCCUCACGGUUAGAACUCGCCAAGUAAAUCUCCAGGUAGAGGACGAGGCAAGGGCAAAGGCAAGUUGGCGAGCGACCAGAAGUGACCGUGGCGAGCCAUAGGGAUUUCUGCUUCCGCUUAUUCUUGUUUUGACUUUAGUACCCGAGUUUGAGUAUUCUUCACUAUUUACCAUUUUUUUUAUGUAGAUAGGGCCCGAG